rnacentral:rRNA from 1 species
UGGGGAAUAUUGCACAAUGGGGAAAGACCCUGAUGCAGCGACGCCGCGUGAGCGAAGAAGUAUUUCGGUAUGUAAAGCUCUAUCAGCAGGGAAGAAAAUGACGGUACCUGACUAAGAAGCCCCGGCUAACUACGUGCCAGCAGCCGCGGUAAUACGUAGGGGGCAAGCGUUAUCCGGAUUUACUGGGUGUAAAGGGAGCGUAGACGGAAGAGCAAGUCUGAUGUGAAAGGCAGGGGCCCAACCCCUGGACUGCAUUGGAAACUGCCCAUCUUGAGUGCCGGAGGGGUAAGCGGAAUUCCUAGUGUAGCGGUGAAAAUGCGUAGAUAUUAGGAGGAACACCAGUGGCGAAGGCGGCUUACUGGACGGUAACUGACGUUGAGGCUCGAAGGCGUGGGGAGCAAACAGGAUUAGAUACCC